rnacentral:rRNA from 1 species
AGUGAACGCUGGCGGUAGGCCUAACACAUGCAAGUCGAACGGCAGCACAGUAAGAGCUUGCUCUUACGGGUGGCGAGUGGCGGACGGGUGAGGAAUACAUCGGAAUCUACUUUUUCGGGGGGGAUAACGUAGGGAAACUUACGCUAAUACCGCAUACGACCUACGGGUGAAAGCAGGGGCUCUUCGGACCUUGCGCGAUUGAAUGAGCCGAUGUCGGAUUAGCUAGUUGGCGGGGUAAAGGCCCACCAAGGCGACGAUCCGUAGCUGGUCUGAGAGGAUGAUCAGCCACACUGGAACUGAGACACGGCCCAGACUCCUACGGGAGGCAGCAGUGGGGAAUAUUGGACAAUGGGCGCAAGCCUGAUCCAGCCAUACCGCGUGGGUGAAGAAGGCCUUCGGGUUGUAAAGCCCUUUUGUUAGGAAAGAAAAGCAGCAGGUUAAUAACCCGCUGUGCUGACGGUACCCAAAGAAUAAGCACCGGCUAACUUCGUG